rnacentral:rRNA from 1 species
AGGGUGUAAACGCUGCAGACUUGGUGUUGGAGGGCCCUUUUGGGGGGUCGAUUCAGUGCCGGAGAGAAGUUGUUAAGUCUGCUACUUGGGGAGUACGUCCGCAAGGAUGAAACUUAAAGGAAUUGGCGGGGGAGCACCGCAACGGGAGGAGCGUGCGGUUUAAUUGGAUUCAACACCGUAAAACUCACCAGGGAAGACUGUUACAUGAAGGCCGAGAUGAAGACUCUGCUAGAUUUUCAGAGAGGUGGUGCAUGGCGUCAGUGACU